AGCGAACGCUGGCGGCAGGCUUAACACAUGCAAGUCGAGCGGGUGUAGCAAUACAUCAGCGGCAGACGGGUGAGUAACGCGUGGGAACGUACCUUUUGGUUCGGAACAACCCAGGGAAACUUGGGCUAAUACCGGAUAAGCCCUUACGGGGAAAGAUUUAUCGCCGAAAGAUCGGCCCGCGUCUGAUUAGCUAGUUGGUGAGGUAAUGGCUCACCAAGGCGACGAUCAGUAGCUGGUCUGAGAGGAUGAUCAGCCACAUUGGGACUGAGACACGGCCCAAACUCCUACGGGAGGCAGCAGUGGGGAAUAUUGGACAAUGGGGGCAACCCUGAUCCAGCCAUGCCGCGUGAGUGAUGAAGGCCCUAGGGUUGUAAAGCUCUUUUGUGCGGGAAGAUAAUGACGGUACCGCAAGAAUAAGCCCCGGCUAACUUCGUGCCAGCCGCCGCGGUAAGAC
rnacentral:rRNA from 1 species